CCCCGCCUCCCCCGGUGGCGGCCACCUUCGCGGAGGCGGUAGGGGUGGGGGCGGGAACUGUAGUGCGCCUGCGCCUGUCAAAGGCUCUUCGGAAACUACGUCUCGCGUAUAAUACAGUCACAAGGCUGUACCCAGGAAUGGAAUCCAUUGCAGGAGAAUGUUGGGCAGAAUGUAAACUACUGGAUGGACCAUGGGUGUUAUCUACAUAUGACAACUUUUUGCAUACUCAUUUAUAUUUCCUAUCUGGGAAAUGAAGCCAGAAUCCACAGAUGUCCUUAUCCAUCUGCACACUUUUGUUUACUACCCAGAAGUGAAAUAAAUACAUGGACAGAAAAUUCCAAGCAUUGCUUCCAUGGAAGGGAUUGCAAAGGAGAUGAGUCCUCUUGCUCAAACCUGCCAGGAAGCCAGAGGGCAAAAGAGCUCGGGUGAUACCGUUGGCGGGGUCGGUCUUCUGGACAGGUCAGACAGGAAUGGAGAACGGACCAGGGAAGAGGAGCAGGUGCAGAACCCCGUCUGAAGGGCCCGCAUCGUCGCCUGUGCUCUACAUUGCUGCUGCUGGGAGAUGCCGUCCCCGAGUGCAGCCUCAUCCUGGGACGCACCCAGACCCCA
ensembl:lncRNA